rnacentral:rRNA from 1 species
GACGAACGCUGGCGGCGUGCCUAAUAAAUGCAAGUAGAACGCUGAAGGAAGGAGCUUGCUCUUUCCGGAUGAGUUGCGAACGGGUGAGUAACGCGUAGGUAACCUGCCUGGUAGCGGGGGAUAACUAUUGGAAACGAUAGCUAAUACCGCAUAAUAUUGAUUAUUGCAUGAUAGUCAAUUAAAAGGUGCAAUUGCAUCACUACCAGAUGGACCUGCGUUGUAUUAGCUAGUUGGUGGGGUAACGGCUCACCAAGGCGACGAUACAUAGCCGACCUGAGAGGGUGAUCGGCCACACUGGGACUGAGACACGGCCCAGACUCCUACGGGAGGCAGCAGUAGGGAAUCUUCGGCAAUGGACGGAAGUCUGACCGAGCAACGCCGCGUGAGUGAAGAAGGUUUUCGGAUCGUAAAGCUCUGUUGUAAGAGAAGAACGAGUGUGAGAGUGGAAAGUUCACACUGAGACG